rnacentral:rRNA from 1 species
AGUGGCGAACGGGUGAGUAAUAUAUCGGAACGUACCUUAUUGUGGGGGAUAACGCAGCGAAAGCUGUGCUAAUACCGCAUAAUCCCUAAGGGGGAAAGCGGGGGACCGUAAGGCCUCGCGCAAUUAGAGCGGCCGAUACCUGAUUAGCUAGUUGGUGAGGUAAAGGCUCACCAAGGCAACGAUCAGUAGCUGGUCUGAGAGGACGAUCAGCCACACUGGGACUGAGACACGGCCCAGACUCCUACGGGAGGCAGCAGUGGGGAAUUUUGGACAAUGGGGGCAACCCUGAUCCAGCAAUGCCGCGUGAGUGAAGAAGGCCUUCGGGUUGUAAAGCUCUUUUGUCAGGGAAGAAACAGCAGCUCUAACACAGUUUGCGAAUGACGGUACCUGAAGAAUAAGCACCGGCUAACUACGUGCCAGCAGCCGCGGUAAUACGUAGGGUGCAAGCGUUAAUCGGAAUUACUGGGCGUAAAGCGUGCGCAGGCGGUUAUGUAAGACAGGCGUGAAAUCCCCGGGCUUAACCUGGGAAUUGCGCUUGUGACUGCAUAGCUAGAGUAUGUCAGAGGGGGGUAGAAUUCCACGUGUAGCAGUGAAAUGCGUAGAGAUGUGGAGGAAUACCAAUGGCGAAGGCAGCCCCCUGGGAUAAUACUGACGCUCAUGCACGAAAGCGUGGGGAGCAGACAGGAUUAGAUACCCUGGU